UACGUAGGGUGCGAGCGUUAAUCGGAAUUACUGGGCGUAAAGCGUGCGCAGGCGGUUCGCUGUGUCCUGUGUGAAAGCCCCGGGCUUAACCUGGGAAUGGCAUGGGAAACUGGCGGGCUGGAGUGUGGCAGAGGGGGUGGAAUUCCGCGUGUAGCAGUGAAAUGCGUAGAGAUGCGGAGGAACACCGAUGGCGAAGGCAGCCCCCUGGGCUAACACUGACGCUCAGGCACGAAAGCGUGGGGAGCAAACAGG
rnacentral:rRNA from 1 species